rnacentral:rRNA from 1 species
CCUACGGGAGGCAGCAGUAGGGAAUCUUCCACAAUGAGCGAAAGCCUGAUGGAGCAACGCCGCGUGGGUGAAGAAGGUCUUCGGAUCGUAAAACCCUGUUGUUAGAGAAGAAAGUGCGUGAGAGUAACUGUUCACGUUUCGACGGUAUCUAACCAGAAAGCCACGGCUAACUACGUGCCAGCAGCCGCGGUAAUACGUAGGUGGCAAGCGUUAUCCGGAUUUAUUGGGCGUAAAGGGAACGCAGGCGGUCUUUUAAGUCUGAUGUGAAAUCCUUCGGCUUAACCGGAGUAGUGCAUUGGAAACUAGGAGACUUGAGUGCAGAAGAGGGGAGUGGAACUCCAUGUGUAGCGGUGAAAUGCGUAGAUAUAUGGAAGAACACCAGUGGCGAAAGCGGCUCUCUGGUCUGUAACUGACGCUGAGGUUCGAAAGCGUGGGUAGCAAACAGGAUUAGAUACCCGGGUAGUC